GGGUUGUGAGGUUAAGCGACUAAGCGUACACGGUGGAUGCCCUGGCAGUCAGAGGCGAUGAAGGACGUGCUAAUCUGCGAUAAGCGUCGGUAAGGUGAUAUGAACCGUUAUAACCGGCGAUUUCCGAAUGGGGAAACCCAGUGUGUUUCGACACACUAUCAUUAACUGAAUCCAUAGGUUAAUGAGGCGAACCGGGGGAACUGAAACAUCUAAGUACCCCGAGGAAAAGAAAUCAACCGAGAUUCCCCCAGUAGCGGCGAGCGAACGGGGAGCAGCCCAGAGCCUGAAUCAGUGUGUGUGUUAGUGGAAGCGUCUGGAAAGGCGCGCGAUACAGGGUGACAGCCCCGUACACAAAAAUGCACAUGCUGUGAGCUCGAUGAGUAGGGCGGGACACGUGGUAUCCUGUCUGAAUAUGGGGGGACCAUCCUCCAAGGCUAAAUACUCCUGACUGACCGAUAGUGAACCAGUACCGUGAGGGAAAGGCGAAAAGAACCCCGGCGAGGGGAGUGAAAAAGAACCUGAAACCGUGUACGUACAAGCAGUGGGAGCACGCUUAGGCGUGUGACUGCGUACCUUUUGUAUAAUGGGUCAGCGACUUAUAUUCUGUAGCAAGGUUAACCGAAUAGGGGAGCCGAAGGGAAACCGAGUCUUAACUGGGCGUUAAGUUGCAGGGUAUAGACCCGAAACCCGGUGAUCUAGCCAUGGGCAGGUUGAAGGUUGGGUAACACUAACUGGAGGACCGAACCGACUAAUGUUGAAAAAUUAGCGGAUGACUUGUGGCUGGGGGUGAAAGGCCAAUCAAACCGGGAGAUAGCUGGUUCUCCCCGAAAGCUAUUUAGGUAGCGCCUCGUGAAUUCAUCUCCGGGGGUAGAGCACUGUUUCGGCAAGGGGGUCAUCCCGACUUACCAACCCGAUGCAAACUGCGAAUACCGGAGAAUGUUAUCACGGGAGACACACGGCGGGUGCUAACGUCCGUCGUGAAGAGGGAAACAACCCAGACCGCCAGCUAAGGUCCCAAAGUCAUGGUUAAGUGGGAAACGAUGUGGGAAGGCCCAGACAGCCAGGAUGUUGGCUUAGAAGCAGCCAUCAUUUAAAGAAAGCGUAAUAGCUCACUGGUCGAGUCGGCCUGCGCGGAAGAUGUAACGGGGCUAAACCAUGCACCGAAGCUGCGGCAGCGACGCUUAUGCGUUGUUGGGUAGGGGAGCGUUCUGUAAGCCUGUGAAGGUGUGCUGUGAGGCAUGCUGGAGGUAUCAGAAGUGCGAAUGCUGACAUAAGUAACGAUAAAGCGGGUGAAAAGCCCGCUCGCCGGAAGACCAAGGGUUCCUGUCCAACGUUAAUCGGGGCAGGGUGAGUCGACCCCUAAGGCGAGGCCGAAAGGCGUAGUCGAUGGGAAACAGGUUAAUAUUCCUGUACUUGGUGUUACUGCGAAGGGGGGACGGAGAAGGCUAUGUUGGCCGGGCGACGGUUGUCCCGGUUUAAGCGUGUAGGCUGGUUUUCCAGGCAAAUCCGGAAAAUCAAGGCUGAGGCGUGAUGACGAGGCACUACGGUGCUGAAGCAACAAAUGCCCUGCUUCCAGGAAAAGCCUCUAAGCAUCAGGUAACAUCAAAUCGUACCCCAAACCGACACAGGUGGUCAGGUAGAGAAUACCAAGGCGCUUGAGAGAACUCGGGUGAAGGAACUAGGCAAAAUGGUGCCGUAACUUCGGGAGAAGGCACGCUGAUAUGUAGGUGAAGUCCCUCGCGGAUGGAGCUGAAAUCAGUCGAAGAUACCAGCUGGCUGCAACUGUUUAUUAAAAACACAGCACUGUGCAAACACGAAAGUGGACGUAUACGGUGUGACGCCUGCCCGGUGCCGGAAGGUUAAUUGAUGGGGUUAGCCGCAAGGCGAAGCUCUUGAUCGAAGCCCCGGUAAACGGCGGCCGUAACUAUAACGGUCCUAAGGUAGCGAAAUUCCUUGUCGGGUAAGUUCCGACCUGCACGAAUGGCGUAAUGAUGGCCAGGCUGUCUCCACCCGAGACUCAGUGAAAUUGAACUCGCUGUGAAGAUGCAGUGUACCCGCGGCAAGACGGAAAGACCCCGUGAACCUUUACUAUAGCUUGACACUGAACAUUGAGCCUUGAUGUGUAGGAUAGGUGGGAGGCUUAGAAGUGUGGACGCCAGUCUGCAUGGAGCCGACCUUGAAAUACCACCCUUUAAUGUUUGAUGUUCUAACGUUGACCCGUAAUCCGGGUUGCGGACAGUGUCUGGUGGGUAGUUUGACUGGGGCGGUCUCCUCCUAAAGAGUAACGGAGGAGCACGAAGGUUGGCUAAUCCUGGUCGGACAUCAGGAGGUUAGUGCAAUGGCAUAAGCCAGCUUGACUGCGAGCGUGACGGCGCGAGCAGGUGCGAAAGCAGGUCAUAGUGAUCCGGUGGUUCUGAAUGGAAGGGCCAUCGCUCAACGGAUAAAAGGUACUCCGGGGAUAACAGGCUGAUACCGCCCAAGAGUUCAUAUCGACGGCGGUGUUUGGCACCUCGAUGUCGGCUCAUCACAUCCUGGGGCUGAAGUAGGUCCCAAGGGUAUGGCUGUUCGCCAUUUAAAGUGGUACGCGAGCUGGGUUUAGAACGUCGUGAGACAGUUCGGUCCCUAUCUGCCGUGGGCGCUGGAGAACUGAGGGGGGCUGCUCCUAGUACGAGAGGACCGGAGUGGACGCAUCACUGGUGUUCGGGUUGUCAUGCCAAUGGCACUGCCCGGUAGCUAAAUGCGGAAGAGAUAAGUGCUGAAAGCAUCUAAGCACGAAACUUGCCCCGAGAUGAGUUCUCCCUGACUCCCUGAGAGUCCUGAAGGAACGUUGAAGACGACGACGUUGAUAGGCCGGGUGUGUAAGCGCAGCGAUGCGUUGAGCUAACCGGUACUAAUGAACCGUGAGGCUUAACCUUACAACGCCGAAGGUGUUU
rnacentral:rRNA from 1 species